GGCAAACGGGUGAGUAACGCGUAGACAACCUGCCGCAAAGAAGGGGACAACAGUCCGAAAGGACUGCUAAUACCGAAUGUUGUCAAGUUUCCGCAUGGGAGCUUAAUUAAAGAUAGCCUCUACUUGUAAGCUAUCGCUUUGCGAUGGGUCUGCGUCUCAUUAGCUAGUUGGUGGGGUAACGGCCUACCAACGCGACGAUCAGUAGCCGGUCUGAGAGGAUGAACGGCCACUUUGGAACUGAGACACGGUCCAGACUCCUACCGGAGGCAGCAGUGGGGAAUCUUCCGCAAUGGGCGAAAGCCUGACGGAGCAACGCCGCGUGAGUGAUGAAGGGUUUCGGCUCGUAAAGCUCUGUUGACGGGGACGAAUGUGCGAAAUGCGAAURGUUUUUCGCAAUGACGGUACCCGUCGAGGAAGCCACGGCUAACUUCGUGCCAGCAGCCGCGGUAAUACCUAGGUGGCGAGCGUUGUCCGGAAUUAUUGGGCGAAAAGGGAGCGCAGGCGGGAAGGCAAGUCAGUCUUAAAAGUCCGGGGCUCAACCCCGUGAUGGGAUUGAAACUGUCUUUCUUGAGUGCAGGAGAGGAAAGCGGAAUUCCUUGUGUAGCGGUGAAAUGCGUAGAUAUAAGGAGGAACACCAGUGGCGAAGGCGGCUUU
rnacentral:rRNA from 1 species